GAUGAAGAACGUAGCGAAAUGCGAUAAGUAGUGUGAAUUGCAGAAUUCAGUGAAUCAUCGAAUCUUUGAACGCACAUUGCGCCCGCCAGUAUUCUGGCGGGCAUGCCUGUUCGAGCGUCAUUUCAACCAUCAAGCCCCCCCGGCUUGUGUUGGGGACCUGCGGCUGCCGCAGGCCCUGAAAAGCAGUGGCGGGCUCGCUGUCACACCGAGCGUAGUAGAUCUCAUCUCGCUCAGGGCGUGCUGCGGGUUCCGGCCGUUAAACCACCUUCAUAACCCAAGGUUGACCUCGGAUCAGGUAGGAAGACCCGCUGAACUUAAGCAUAUCAAUAAGCGGAGGA
rnacentral:misc_RNA from 1 species